CGGACGGGUGAGUAACACGUGGAUAACCUACCUAUAAGACUGGGAUAACUUCGGGAAACCGGAGCUAAUACCGGAUAAUAUAUUGAACCGCAUGGUUCAAUAGUGAAAGACGGUUUUGCUGUCACUUAUAGAUGGAUCCGCGCCGCAUUAGCUAGUUGGUAAGGUAACGGCUUACCAAGGCAACGAUGCGUAGCCGACCUGAGAGGGUGAUCGGCCACACUGGAACUGAGACAUGGUCCAGACUCCUACGGGAGGCAGCAGUC
rnacentral:rRNA from 1 species